rnacentral:lncRNA from 1 species
AUGUCAGGCAAGGCUCACACUGUGCUAAAAAAAGCCUUUGGGAAGUCAGACCUCAUCUGCAGGACUGAGCUGGAGCAGAGCAGCAGGUGCCGAGCCAACCCGGCAGAGCCCCAGGACAGAAAACACCUGGGACAAAGGCACGUGCCCCCAUUUUGGGGUCAUUGUGGGGACCCCUGCCCAGGACAGAGCUGGCAGGGCUGGGAGCAGGGCUGGAGCCACAGCAAAAGCAGCAUCUUUUUGUGGCAGCUCGUGAUGUCAGCCAGGUCCCCUGGCUGUGCAAACAGCGGUGCAGGGACAUUGCACUUCCUCCUGAGCGCUCGGCUGCGCUGAGCACGGCUCUGCCUGCCAAGUUUGGGAUCUUCCUAAAUGAUGGCAAGGUGGACUCAUGAGAACUCCCACUGGGACAACACUUGGGGUGAGAAAAAAUGGCUUAAAGAGAGCCAAGAAAUGAAAUUUGGAUGAACUCUGACACCUUGUGGACAACCAGCAGAUGAAGGUGAUGGGUGAGGGGGAAGCUCUGGGGGCCUGGGCGGGGUCUGUCCCACCAGAGAGCCAAGCUGAGCUCUGGGAUGGAGUGUGAACCCUCGUGUUCUAGGGACACAGCAGUUUGCCCUAAAACCUCUGGUCAGAGCCCAGUUUGAGUCAGCAGACCUUUGCCCCAUCACCCCAAUCGUCCUCAGUGUCACAUGAGAGCUAAGUCACAGAAUAUUCUGAGUUGGAAGGGUCUAAAUAAGGCCUGGCUCUAUUUAAGGACCUUGAUAAGCAAAUUGGCUGCUGUCACUCACUGGACUGAAGAGCAAUCACACACUGGUCAGCAUUUAAUUAGAUAAUUAAUUGUAAAAGUGUCUUUAAAAUACAACAUUUUGCAGAUGUACCUAAUCCUGUGUGGGUUUAACGGCCAUCUUCAAUAUCCAGCUGGCUCCUUCCAGCUUUGAUAUCCAAGGAAAACCAGGCACAUGAGGACCUGGAAAAUGGUUUCUUCACAAAGGGAGAGGUGACCCGAAGGGACAGAAGGUGCAGUGGGCAGUGCUUUUACCAGAGACAAGGCCAUGGCCAGCUGGAUAACAGCUGGGAAGGGAUGAAAUCUCCUGAGCAGCAGAAAUCCACAGCUCUCCCAGGAAAUGGGAUGUAACCACAUCCAGCACUCUGAGAGGAGGAACCCCCAUGCUCAGCUCCAGUCCCUGCUCAUCCCUGUCCUGACAGGGAUGGAGAGCAGAUCUCCAUUGCUGCUGCUCAGGGGAGACAAAUCCUUGAGCCUGAUGAAUCUUUUUCUGUGUUUCUGUCACGGUUUGAGGCUCUUCCCUCCUCAUGGGUCUGUCGUGGCAGGAGCAAGGCUGUGCUGUCCUUAGCAGAGCAGAGCAUCCUGUCCCAGAGCUCAGGGGCUUUGGGAGGGAGCUGGAGGGACAAAAGCAGCUCUGAGGGGCUGGGAUGCAGCACCUUGGUGCAGGAAGGGAUGAACAGAGAGCUUCCCAAAGGCAGCACUCAGAGCAGCUGCAGGAGACAAAAACAGACCUUGCUUUUUGAAAGAGAAGCUGAGAAAGAAAAGCAAGAAUCUGUGCAGGGAGCCUGCAGGAGCAGAGUCACCCUGCUGCCAUGUGGGACCUUGCCACAUUUUGGGGGCUGAAUCCCAGCCUUUCCAUGGCAGCCUGGAGCAGCCUCUGGAGGAGCUGCCAGGUGUAAGCACCACAAGGACUGAGAGGAUGAAAACCCAGCUAUUUGUGUUCUGUGUCACUGAGAGCUCUAAAUUCAACUCUUUUGGUAAGGCCAAGGGAAAAGCUUUAGUAACAGAGUAGGAGUUACUAAUUUCUACCUACAGACACAGUUUUUCUGGCGAAUGCUCUUUGCAGGAAAUGAGUCAGAGGAGUGAAUCAGUGUCUGAAGUGCCACAUGCAGCUGAUUUUCAGCUUGAACCGUUAUAUUCAAUAUGAG